rnacentral:rRNA from 1 species
AUUGAACACUGGCGGCAGGCCUAACACAUGCAAGUCGAACGAGUGGCGGACGGGUGAGUAAUGUAUGGGAAACUGCCCGAUGGAGGGGGAUAACUACUGGAAACGGUAGCUAAUACCGCAUACCAUCGGAUGUGCCAAGAUGGGAUGGGCUUGGAGGUGAGGUAACGGCUCACCUAGGCGACGUUCCCUAGCUGGGAUGAGAGGAUGACGAGCCAACCUGGAACUGCGACACGGUGCAGACUCCUACGGUAGGCAUGAGUGGGGAAUAUUGCACAAUGGGCGCAAGCCUGAUGCAGCCAUGCCGCGUGUAUGAGUAAGGCCUUCGGGUUGUAAAGUACUUUCAGCUGGGAGGCGUUACCCGCAGAAGAAGCACCGGCUAACUCCGUGCCAGCAGCCGCGGUAAUAC